rnacentral:rRNA from 1 species
GAUCAUGGCUCAGGAUGAACGCUAGCGACAGGCUUAACACAUGCAAGUCGGAGGGGCAGCACGAUGUAGCAAUACAUUGGUGGCGACCGGCGCACGGGUGAGUAACGCGUAUGCAACCUACCUAUCAGAGGGGAAUAACCCGGCGAAAGUCGGACUAAUACCGCAUAAAACAGGGGUUCCACAUGGAAAUAUUUGUUAAAGAUUUAUCGCUGAUAGAUGGGCAUGCGUUCCAUUAGA